GAGUUUGAUCGUGGCUCAGGAUGAACGCUGGCGGCGUGCCUAAUACAUGCAAGUCGAGCGAACGGACGAGAAGCUUGCUUCUCUGAUGUUAGCGGCGGACGGGUGAGUAACACGUGGAUAACCUACCUAUAAGACUGGGAUAACUUCGGGGAAACCGGAGCUAAUACCGGAUAAUAUUUUGAACCGCAUGGUUCAAAAGUGAAAGACGGUCUUGCUGUCACUUAUAGAUGGAUCCGCGCUGCAUUAGCUAGUUGGUAGGGUAACGGCUUACCAAGGCAACGAUGCAUAGCCGACCUGAGAGGGUGAUCGGCCACACUGGAACUGAGACACGGUCCAGACUCCUACGGGAGGCAGCAGUAGGGAAUCUUCCGCAAUGGGCGAAAGCCUGACGGAGCAACGCCGCGUGAGUGAUGAAGGUCUUCGGAUCGUAAAACUCUGUUAUUAGGGAAGAACAUAUGUGUAAGUAACUGUGCACAUCUUGACGGUACCUAAUCAGAAAGCCACGGCUAACUACGU
rnacentral:rRNA from 1 species